rnacentral:rRNA from 1 species
GUUUACAACUCCCAAACCCCUGUGAACAUACCAAUUGUUGCCUCGGCGGAUCAGCCCGCUCCCGGUAAAACGGGACGGCCCGCCAGAGGACCCCUAAACUCUGUUUCUAUAUGUAACUUCUGAGUAAAACCAUAAAUAAAUCAAAACUUUCAACAACGGAUCUCUUGGUUCUGGCAUCGAUGAAGAACGCAGCAAAAUGCGAUAAGUAAUGUGAAUUGCAGAAUUCAGUGAAUCAUCGAAUCUUUGAACGCACAUUGCGCCCGCCAGUAUUCUGGCGGGCAUGCCUGUUCGAGCGUCAUUUCAACCCUCAAGCCCAGCUUGGUGUUGGGACUCGCGAGUCAAAUCGCGUUCCCCAAAUUGAUUGGCGGUCACGUCGAGCUUCCAUAGCGUAGUAGUAAAACCCUCGUUACUGGUAAUCGUCGCGGCCACGCCGUUAAACCCCAACUUCUGAAUGUUGACCUCGGAUCAGGUAGGAAUACCCGCUGAACUUAAGCAUAUCAAU